rnacentral:lncRNA from 1 species
GCAUAAUUGUAAUCAGACAACUCUCCAUUAAGAGACCAUACAAUGUAAAAGUUUAUAGUAAUAGGUACAGCCUUCAAUAAAGAACUAAACCACUCUGCAUAUCAUAUUUGAUUUUGCAAAAACCAAGAGCAUGUUUAUUUGUAGAUUUUGUCACUAUCAAUUAUAUACGUGCAUGUACUAAUGUAUUCAUGUGGUGUCCGUCCUUGAUUUGAAAUCCUCCCCCCCCAA